AGCCCGGGUAUGCCCAGUACGGCGAGUGAAGCGGCAAGAGCUCAAAUUUGAAAUCUGGCCUCCCCUGGGGGCCCGAGUUGUAAUUUGCAGAGGAUGCUUCGGGUGCGGCCGCCGUCUAAGUUCCUUGGAACAGGACGUCAGAGAGGGUGAGAAUCCCGUCUUGGGCGGGCGGUCCGCGCCCGUGUGAAGCUCCUUCGACGAGUCGAGUUGUUUGGGAAUGCAGCUCUAAGCGGGUGGUAAAUUUCAUCUAAAGCUAAAUAUUGGCCGGAGACCGAUAGCGCACAAGUAGAGUGAUCGAAAGGUUAAAAGCACCUUGAAAAGGGAGUUAAACAGCACGUGAAAUUGUUGAAAGGGAAGCGCUUGCGGCCAGACUCGGGGGCGGGGUUCAGCGGGUGCUCGUCGCCCGUGUAUUCCUCGUUUCCCGGGCCAGCAUCAGUUUCGACGGCCGGUCAAAGGCCCCCGGAAUGUGUCGUCUCUCGGGACGUCUUAUAGCCGGGGGUGCAAUGCGGCCCGUCGGGACUGAGGAACGCGCUCCGGCUCGGAUGCUGGCGUAAUGGCCGUAAGCGGCCCGUCUUGAAACCGGACAAAA
rnacentral:rRNA from 1 species